UGCAAUCGGAUAAAACACGUUUAUGCACCAGCGUUCCAAACGUGGAAGGUAGCAGUCAAUCGAAAAAAUAUAUAUAUGGGAUUUCUUUGUGCGAGAGAAUAAAACUCCUCCAGAAUUUUUUAUUCAUCCCGUGCCAUGUCCGAUAACUUACAUCCGGCAUCAAUUGGAUAUAUUCGAGCAAAGUUACUAAAAAAUACUCUCAAUUAAAAUUAAUCUAAAUUUUCCAUUGGACUUCAAGGCAUUAAGGAUGAUUAUCAAUAUUUUAUAGACAUCGAACAUUAAUAUUCUAACAGCAACGCAAAGUGAGUGUUUGGACUGGUAUGGUAGUUCUUCAAAUGAGCGACUCGCAUGAGGAUUUCACAGAGUCUUCUCCCAUUGUCAACUAUCAAGUUAAAACAAAUAAUAUUGGAAAUAAAGUUACAAAAACAUGUAGUAAAUUAAUUAUCCUAAUAUGGUUGUUUACAAGUUUCUUGAUCAAUGUACAUCUUUGUGUUUUGGCAGAUGAGUUCUUUCGAGUUCUGUCAAGCUCGUAUACGCGAACUAUAUAGCGUGGGUUAUCUUUGUUUAUUAAGCGGAACGCCUGGGAGCUUUCAAUCUGAGUUUGACUUUUCGCUGUUUUGCUUUUGGUCGUUUGACAAAUCGCCUGAAAACAAAAUGUCGGAGGCCAAACGGAGAAAUGUCAAAAGCGAAAGUCUUUCAUGACAAAAUGCUGGACAAGAAAUAGUCGCUUGAGACGAAAUGUCAAAAUGUCUUGUGACAAAAUAACAAGAGGAAAUUGAUUAAAAAGACAAACUCACUUUGUAACAUGGCCCUAAAUCACUUUGACUUUUGAACUUUUGACAUUUUUGAUGUUGACUUUUUUAUGUCCGCUCUCGGCUACCGUAGUAAGAAAGAUACGGAAAUCACGAACGAUAAAAGUUUUGGGAAAAAAAGAUAUAUUCAGUUGAGCUUGACAAUAGCAACUGAGAAAAAAAAUUAAAAUAACGAAAGAUGCAAUGCAAAAUACAAAAAAUAAUUUUUUCCCCGUAAAUUUGCAUUUGUAAAUGUUUUUCUGUGCAUUUCCGAGUAGCUUUGCUGUGAAUUCAAGCGGGAUUUCUGUGUUGUGUACACGGACGUUCGUACGUACGCACUGAAGUGACGUCAGGCAAGCCAUGAAAAAUCAACUCGAUGGUUUACCAUUUUUCCUUAUGGUGCUCCGCUCGCGGGGGCCUUCGGCCUUCGGCCUGCGCAGGAGCUCCGCUAAUAAGGUAACAUCUAGUCAAAAUGAAAUAAAGUUAAGAGAAGAUAGUUCCGUGACCUCUACCAUACUGUACUAACGAUUUUGGCGUGAAAUACGGCGUAACUUGUUUAAAUUAAAUUUUAACACUUUAGUCUAUCCCAACAAAUUCUAUAUAAUAAAAUGAAAAUACAUAAUCAGUCAAGAUAAAAGAAAUGUCUUAUGUUGUCCUAUAUAGUUGGCUCAUAGGCCGCCGUCACACAAGAUUGAAAAGACCAUCCAGCAAUGGAGAGUUGGUGCUGAUUCAGUCUUUGUAGUGGCUGGAGACCAGGGAAAUGCGCCUUCUGGUAGAACAAGGCGUGUCAUCAGGGACUUUCCACUAUGCAACAACUAUGUGCCCGCGUGCAACCCUAAUAAAUGGGUGUUCUCAUGCAAGAUUCGUACCAGUCGCUGCGUUUAUUACGUUUCAUGCAAGCUCGAUUUUCAGGGUAAACUCAUGAGCUGUUCAACGCUUACUAAGCAUCUUUACACCAGCAUCGUAUGCUGCUCCCCUAGUUGCUCCUAGAUGUCCCUUAGCACAGGGUAUUAUUCUUGUCGUAGACUAAUGUAAUUGCAGCAAAAAUAAAAACUUGAACAUAUGAAAA
rnacentral:lncRNA from 1 species